UGGGGAAUAUUGCACAAUGGGCGCAAGCCUGAUGCAGCCAUGCCGCGUGUGUGAAGAAGGCCUUCGGGUUGUAAAGCACUUUCAGCGGGGAGGAAGGCGAUAAGGUUAAUAACCUCAUCGAUUGACGUUACCCGCAGAAGCAGCACCGGCUAACUCCGUGCCAGCAGCCGCGGUAAUACGGAGGGUGCAAGCGUUAAUCGGAAUUACUGGGCGUAAAGCGCACGCAGGCGGUCUGUCAAGUCGGAUGUGAAAUCCCCGGGCUCAACCUGGGAACUGCAUUCGAAACUGGCAGGCUAGAGUCUUGUAGAGGGGGGUAGAAUUCCAGGUGUAGCGGUGAAAUGCGUAGAGAUCUGGAGGAAUACCGGUGGCGAAGGCGGCCCCCUGGACAAAGACUGACGCUCAGGUGCGAAAGCGUGGGGAGCAAACAGG
rnacentral:rRNA from 1 species